rnacentral:misc_RNA from 1 species
AAGUCGUAACAAGGUAACCGUAGGUGAACCUGCGGUUGGAUCAUUACAGAGAAAGUCCGGGGGAGGGGGAGAGAAGGAAACUUCUUGACUCGGAACUACUCAACCUUUGUGUGAACUGUGCUGUCCCUGGCGGAGGGGCAAGAGUGGGUUCUGCUCCGUGUGGGCGCGACACCACUUUUUGCCUGUCAGCUUGUGGUCCCCCCUCUGGGGGGUGUGCGAGCCGUGGACAAACCGCCAACCGUCUGAACAUGUUGUGUAAUUUUUUAGACUGAACGUUUCUUUUUACGAAACAUACAACUUUUGGCAACGGAUCUCUUGGCUCUC